GCCUUCGUGGUGUAGUGGUCAGCACGCUCGACGCGUAACCGAGAGGUCCGUGGUUCGAAUCCCGGCGAGGGCA
rnacentral:tRNA from 1 species